rnacentral:rRNA from 1 species
UACGGAAGGCAGCAGUGGGGAAUAUUGCACAAUGGGCGCAAGCCUGAUGCAGCCAUGCCGCGUGUAUGAAAAGGCCUUCGGGUUGUAAAGUACUUUCAGUCGUGAGGAGGUGUUAAGGUUAAUAACCUUAGCAAUUGACGUUAGCGACAGAAGAAGCACCGGCUAACUCCGUGCCAGCAGCCGCGGUAAUACGGAGGGUGCGAGCGUUAAUCGGAAUUACUGGGCGUAAAGGGCACGCAGGCGGUUAAUUAAGUUGGAUGUGAAAUCCCCGGGCUUAACCUGGGAAUGGCAUUCAAGCUGGUUAGCUAGAGUCUUGUAGAGGGGGUAGAAUUCCAUGUGUAGCGGUGAAAUGCGUAGAGAUGUGGAGGAAUACCGGUGGCGAAGGCGGCCCCUGGACAAAGACUGACGCUCAUGUGCGAAAGCGUGGGGAGCAAACAGGGAUUAGAUACC